rnacentral:rRNA from 1 species
GAUGAACGCUGGCGGCGUGCCUAAUACAUGCAAGUCGAGCGAACAGAUGAGGAGCUUGCUCCUCUGACGUUAGCGGCGGACGGGUGAGUAACACGUGGAUAACCUACCUAUAAGACUGGGAUAACUUCGGGAAGCCGGAGCUAAUACCGGAUAAUAUAUUGAACCGCAUGGUUCAAUAGUGAAAGACGGUUUUGCUGUCACUUAUAGAUGGAUCCGCGCCGCAUUAGCUAGUUGGUAAGGUAACGGCUUACCAAGGCAACGAUGCGUAGCCGACCUGAGAGGGUGAUCGGCCACACUGGAACUGAGACACGGUCCAGACUCCUACGGGAGGCAGCAGUAGGGAAUCUUCCGCAAUGGGCGAAAGCCUGACGGAGCAACGCCGCGUGAGUGAUGAAGGUCUUCGGAUCGUAAAACUCUGUUAUUAGGGAAGAACAAAUGUGUAAGUAACUAUGCAUGUCUUGACGGUACCUAAUCAGAAAGCCACGGCUAACUACGUG